AACGAACGCUGGCGGCAUGCCUAACACAUGCAAGUCGAACGAGACCUUCGGGUCUAGUGGCGCACGGGUGCGUAACGCGUGGGAACCUGCCCUUAGGUUCUGAAUAACUCCCCGAAAGGGGUGCUAAUACCGGAUAAUGUCUUCGGACCAAAGAUUUAUCGCCUUUGGAUGGGCCCGCGUUGGAUUAGCUAGUUGGUAGGGUAAAAGCCUACCAAGGCGACGAUCCAUAGCUGGUCUGAGAGGAUGAUCAGCCACACUGGGACUGAGACACGGCCCAGACUCCUACGGGAGGCAGCAGUGGGGAAUAUUGGACAAUGGGCGAAAGCCUGAUCCAGCAAUGCCGCGUGAGUGAUGAAGGCCUUAGGGUUGUAAAGCUCUUUUACCCGGGAUGAUAAUGACAGUACCGGGAGAAUAAGCGCCGGCUAACUCCGUG
rnacentral:rRNA from 1 species